rnacentral:rRNA from 1 species
GACGAACGCUGGCGGCGUGCUUAACACAUGCAAGUCGAACGGGAUUUAGUAAACGGAAGCCUCGGUGGAAGAUUACUAAUGAGAGUGGCGAACGGGUGAGUAACGCGUGAGCAACCUGCCUAUGACAGUGGGAUAGCCUCGGGAAACCGGGAUUAAUACCGCAUAAAAUCGUAGAAACACAUGUUUCAACGGUCAAAGGUUUAUCGGUCAUAGAUGGGCUCGCGUCUGAUUAGCUAGUUGGUGAGAUAACAGCCCACCAAGGCGACGAUCAGUAGCCGGUCUGAGAGGAUGAACGGCCACAUUGGAACUGAGACACGGUCCAAACUCCUACGGGAGGCAGCAGUGGGGAAUAUUGCACAAUGGGGGAAACCCUGAUGCAGCGACGCCGCGUGAACGAAGAAGGUAUUCGUAUCGUAAAGUUCUGUCCUAUGGGAAGAUAAUGACAGUACCAUAGAAGAAAGCUCCGGCUAAAUACGUG